GAUGAACGCUAGCGGCAGGCUUAACACAUGCAAGUCGAGGGGUAACAUUGUAGCUUGCUACAGAUGACGACCGGCGCACGGGUGCGUAACGCGUAUAGAACCUACCUUUUACAGAGGGAUAGCCCAGAGAAAUUUGGAUUAACACCUCAUAGUAUUAUAAGAUGGCAUCAUCUAAUAAUUAAAACUUCGGUGGUAAAAGAUGGCUAUGCGUUCUAUUAGCUAGAUGGUAAGGUAACGGCUUACCAUGGCAACGAUAGAUAGGGGUCCUGAGAGGGAGACCCCCCACACUGGUACUGAGACACGGACCAGACUCCUACGGGAGGCAGCAGUGAGGAAUAUUGGACAAUGGAGGCAACUCUGAUCCAGCCAUGCCGCGUGCAGGAAGACGGUCCUAUGGAUUGUAAACUGCUUUUAUAUAGGAAGAAACCUUUCCACGUGUGGAAAUCUGACGGUACUAUAUGAAUAAGCACCGGCUAACUCCGUGCCAGCAGCCGCGGUAAUACGGAGGGUGCAAGCGUUAUCCGGAAUCAUUGGGUUUAAAGGGUCCGUAGGCGGACUAAUAAGUCAGGGGUGAAAUACCACAGCUCAACUGUGGAACUGCCUUUGAUACUGUUAGUCUUGAAUUAUAUGGAAGUAGAUAGAAUGUGUAGUGUAGCGGUG
rnacentral:rRNA from 1 species